UACGUAUGGAGCGAGCGUUACUCGGAAUCACUGGGCGUAAAGAGUUCGUAGGCGGAUUCGUAAGUCAGAGGUGAAAUUUUGGGGCUUAACCCCGAAACUGCCUUUGAAACUGCGUAUCUUGAGUAUGUGAGAGGAAGAUGGAAUUCCUGGUGUAGCGGUGGAAUGCGUAGAUAUCAGGAAGAACACCGGUGGCGAAGGCGGUCUUCUGGCACAAUACUGACGCUGAGGAACGAAAGCGUGGGGAGCAAACAGG
rnacentral:rRNA from 1 species